GCCAGGUGUGGUGGCGCAUACCUGUAAUCCCAGCUACUUGGGAGGCUGAGAUGGGAGAAUCGCUUGAACCUGGGAGGUGAAGACUUCAGUGAGCCAAGAUUGCGCCACUGCACUCCAGCCUGGAUGACAGAGCGAGACCCCGUCUCAA
rnacentral:SRP_RNA from 2 species